rnacentral:rRNA from 1 species
ACAUUUCCUAUAUUAAUUAUUAUAAGUAUGGUCUGCUCAAUGAUUUAUUUAAAUAGCCGCAGAUUUCUGUGCUAAGGUAGCAUAAUCAUUUGCUUUAUAAUUAAAAGCUAGAAUGAAAGACUUAACGUUUUAAUUAUUUUAUUAAUAAUAUAAAUAAAAUUUAUUCUAAAUAUAAAAAAAUAUUUUAUAAAAAAAUUAGACGAUAAGACCCUAUUGAACUUUACUUAUUCUGUUUAGCUGGGGCAGCUUAUUAAUUAAUAUUUUAAUAUAAUUUAUUCAAUAAAUAAUCCAAUAUAAUUGAAUUUAAUUAAGUUACCAUAGGGAUAACAGCAUAAUAUUAAACUAAAGUUCUUAUUUAAAUUAAUGUUUGUGACCUCGAUGUGUGAAUUAUAAUCCUUUAUUUAAUGCAGUAAUUAUAAAAGUAGGUCUGUUCGACCUUUAAUAUUUUACAUGAUCUGA